GUUGUUCUAAUAAUAUGACGCGACGCGUCGACCGCCAGCUGUCCCUCGUCCAACGCACUGGGAGAGGAGACACGUGGAGCGCUCUCCGGCGUGAACGGCGACGGCGCAUUCGACGCGCGGUUCCGUCGAUUCGCGUGGCGCGACAAGGACGCGCGAUCUAUGCCAAGCACAUUGGGACACGCCGCGUUGACGACGCGCGACAAAGAGACGUCCCAGCAAACAGACGAGUGGUUAGGAAGACGGCCCAAGGACGACCGGGUACAAAGACCCACGGAGACGAGACGCGACGCCACUCAACUCCACACUCCACUCGCAGUUCCUGCGUCCUGCGACUGCUAGCACUGCUGUCCGCGGUGGACAACUGUCACGCACAAAAUGGCUAUUCGCCGUUAGCAGCUUGGCACGAGGGCCUGGAGACGGCGCGCGCGUCCACUCCCCUCGCGCCCGACGUCGACGACGAGGAUACGCGUACGACUCCCAUCAUCCGUUCGCGUCGUCAACCGUCAGCUAUGCCGCGCGCGCGACGUCGCCACAUCGUUUUUUCCCGUCCGCUCGUCCGGACCGAAUUUCGCUUUUCGAAAUUUUCGCGCACAUACACACGCGCGCGCGUACACACACACAUACACGCGCGCGCGCGCGCAUAUGUAGCGGAUAAAGGGGCACACGGAUAAUGACUUCGCGCGCGAUCACUCAGAUGGCGCGAUGCACGCCGGUUUCGCGCUAUUUGUUUGUCAACAGACGGCAGCGAUGAUGAUAAGGAUGACGAUUACGACGACGGAUCUGCAACAACUCGAUGGCGUGAUUUGACAGCUGCUCUAUUAAUAGGCCAUUGCGAGGCGACUUCGUACUUUCUUCCGCUCCGUUUUGCUUCGCGCCGCGAAGUAUUUGAUUUGUUUGUUCCGUUAAAUCGUUGAAAGUUAAGAGAAUAAGAAUGGUUUGGAGUAACGGUAUUGCAUUUCCAUACUAUCGCUGUGUACAUACAUGUUAAAUUAAUUAAAAAUGGUCUAUUAAAAUAUACAUUUAUAAUACACGGGAAUUUUUUUACGCCUUUUGAGCAUGCUAUAUUAAUCACAAAUUUUUUUUCUCUAUUAACCUCUCUACAUUUCUAAUUUUUUUGUAUCUUUCAAAAAAGAACUCGCAAACAUUACGCUGCAAAAUAACGAGCAUAGAGAAUAUCCUAUCCUUCAUGCGCGCGAACGUCCGAUACGUGACGUGAAUUUGCUUCUCGUUUAUAUCUUUUUCCUUUUGCCUCCCUCAAAGCUUUUCAAAGUCUCGAGUUUUGCGCAUCUCUCUGAAGAUGGCGCGAAACGCGAGGUUGGCCGCAGGAAUUGUUUGUCAACAGAAAAAUUGUUCGGUCGGGGUCGUGUCCGUUGAAACGCGGCUAACGUCGCAUCGUCGCUAAAGUGACGCAAAUGUUGCAGAGAACGGCUUGAAUUUAGGGCGUAGCCCCUGCAUGCGCGGCGCGGCGCGGCCUCGCGCGAAAAGAUGCGGCCGGCGCUGACGCACGGAAACCCGCUUCCUCACGCGCAUCGCUUGGUCACGUUCGCGAGGGUCAGCCUCGCGCGCGAGUGUCCACCUCCUCUCUAGCCGCACGCUUCUCCGAAUUCAUUUCGCGCGUUUUGAGUGGACGAGUAUUGCCUCCGGAGAAAAAGAAGAAAAGGGAGAAAAAAGAACGAAAGAGUGCGGAAGUCGCAGUUGAAGACAACUUCACAGCAAUGAUUUGUACGAUUCGUGAGGAUCACAUGAUCGGGGCGAAUAGGCUAAUAUUUGUGUAGAAAAUUUUUUAUCCUGGAGAAUACGCACGUAACACUGUUGUAUAUGAUACAUGUUAAAAAUGCUAUGUAUUUGGAGCACUAUAAAGAUUGCGGGGAGUCAAUCGAAUGUCAAAGAAGUUAUAGCGCAACUUUAGCAUAACAAGCAAGCGUAUCUUUUGCCAUUAAAGAUUGUCAUUACAUAUUGUUGCGACCUAGUUACAAAAUAGAAGUAAAAAUAAAACGGCAAUCGUGAUUAUCUUCCGAGGCAAAAAUAAAAUAGUUGCGGUCUCUCGACAAUUUUCUUUACAUUGUAAACAUUCUUUAAUGAAGUAUAUUAUUUCUGUAUUGAUAUUACAAUUAUACUACUGCGUACAUAUAAUGAAAAAAAUGACUUCCUUUUGAUUGUUAAAAAUGUUCGUAACUAACCUCAAUAAUUUUAGAAUCUAAAAGGUAAAUUUAAUCUGUCAAAAAACAAAUUCGGGAGUCAUACUGUUGAGAUUCACGUUAGCGAGUGUCUUAUAAGAUCCAUAUGUGGAACUUUUCAGGAGCGAGUUUGUCAUGUUUGCUAAUAGCACGCGUACUCAGUAAUAUCAUAUAGUAACGAGGUCGAUUUGAAUAGUUGGAGAGCGCAUCGUUCGCAAGAGACUGAGAUUCGAAUUCUUUCCCUUUACACGCGCGCACGCGUGCGUGGUGUGUGUGUGUGUGUGUGUGUGUGUGUACAUACGUUGCGCUCACUAUAGCGGAGCAAGCAGACGUUAUGUUGAAGCGGCCGUAGGCAUAGUGAUCGAAAAUGGCGGGAAGAGAACAACGAGGGGAGAGAAAGAGGGAGAGGAGGCGAGCAUGAAGAGAAGGAAGGGGGAAGGAGGAGAGAACAGAGAAAGAAGCAGGUAGAGAAAGUGAGAGAGGGGCUCACACACUUGCCCGAAAUACACUAAAACGUUCUGACAAAUCGAUAAGCGGCGAGGAACGAAGCGGGAAACGCAGGCUGUGGGCUACUCUAACGCAGCAUCGCACAAGCAGGAGAUGAAAUGCAACUCACACCACCCAACUCCCUGAUCUGUGCCUCUAGCUUGGUCGCGACGGCAUGGUUCUUUAUGUCCAAAUAGAACGACUUGUCUUCCAGAGGUUGCGGGCCCUUUCGUAUACGAAUAUCUACAAAAAAAGUUUCCAAACCUUACUCAUUUUUACUUUGCAAUUAAUGUGACAAACGAUUGUUUGUCACAUCCCUAGACGCGCCGAGGUGCGACAAAAGGAUGCUUUUUGAUUCAAAUAAAUUUAUUGAGAUGUAUAGAUUGACAUGUAUACAUUAAAAACGUUUUUCAUUGA